rfam:Ictidomys tridecemlineatus contig107874, whole genome shotgun sequence.
GUGAUUGUGGCUCAGCAGUAGAGCACUAAUCUAGCACGUGUGAUGCCCUGGGUUCAAUCCCCAGAACCACA